CCCCAAAUCCCUUCUUGCUGCUCAAGCGCAAUGUGGAGGAAGAACUACCAUCUGUCCUAGAGUGCCUGCUUCUGACUGGGUUUGCAGAAAAUAACUGAGUCUCCAGACUACAAAGUGAAGAAUAGGGACCAAUGAAUGAAUGCCUGGCUAUAAAACCAUCUGGGGUGCAGUCAGUUCGGCACAGUGUUUUGUGAGACCUGUUUGAGGAUACUCAGACGUCUGAUAAUCCAUCAGAAUUAUUAUUCUACCUUCAAGAAAGUUUUAUGAGCCCCAGAAGACCAGUGGAUGCUGCUUGUAUUUGAAGACCAGAACUUGGAUCUCAGCAGUUUCACAGACCCACUUUAUCCUUGUCUGGAGUUAAUGAGAUCAGAAUAAAAUCAAGUAAACACUCCCAGAGUUCAGUGCUUUGCAGGCUAUGGUGAUACAGGAGUGCACCAGAAAGAAAUCACAUUGUCAUACAAGACAGAGCUGGGACGAUGGUGUCUCUUCUCUACCUGUGGGUCUAGAUAAUCUUAGCAGAGGUGGACUGUUUCAUGGGUAGAGGAGUGAAAGCCAAGGACCUAACUCCUAAUCCUAUCCACAGGGGCUACACUGGAAACCAAACUGUAGAGCACCAACACCCAGGUUUUCGAACACCCCACGGCCUCCGGCAAAGCUCUGGAGUUGCACUAAGAUUGUUCCAAGUUGCCUAUGCCUGCCCCUUUGCCUUGAGUUUCUCAUCUGCAAAAUAAUAGAAAUGACAGCUUAGUACAAAUAAAGCAAGCAGAGUCUAAAGCCAGACGCCCAGGUUCAAAUCUCAGUGUAAUUACUUAUGUGUUGUGUGAUCCAGGAAAAAGCCUCUUUCUGUUUUAACUGUUUAUUAUCCCCCAGUUGGGUUCUCACGGUGCUAAAAUAGAAUAGAGCUACUGUAGCAAUUCAAUGAGCCCAUGUCUGCAUUGCUACAUAGGUCUGAUAUGUGUGUGUGGUAAGGGCUAGUGAGAUACUAUUGUAUCAAUGUUUUCUGGGAAAGUCUUAAAUAUCGCUUGUAAAGACACAAAUGAAAAAUUAAAAUCAAUUACCUG